rnacentral:rRNA from 1 species
AUUGAACGCUGGCGGCAGGCCUAACACAUGCAAGUCGAACGAGUGGCGGACGGGUGAGUAAUGUCUGGGAAACUGCCUGCCGGAGGGGGAUAACUACUGGGAACGGUAGCUAAUACCGCAUACCAUCAGAUGUGCCCAGAUGGGAUUAGCUAGUUGGUUGGGUAACGGCUCACCAAGGCGACGAUCCCUCGCUGGGCUGAGAGGAUGACCAGCCACACUGGAACUGAGACACGGUCCAGACUCCUACGGGAGGAAGCAGUGGGGAAUAGUGCACAAUGGGCGCAAGCCUGAUGCAGCCAUGCCGCGUGUAUGAAGAAGGCCUUCGGGGUUUAAAGUACUUUCAGCGGGGAGGCGUUACCCGCAGAAGAAGCACCGGCUAACUCCGUGCCAGCAGCCGCGGUAAUUC